rnacentral:rRNA from 1 species
GGGAAUUUUCCGCAAUGGGCGAAAGCCUGACGGAGCAAUACCGCGUGAGGGAUGACGGCCUAUGGGUUGUAAACCUCUUUUUUCAGGGAGGAAUAAAUGACGUGUACCUGAAGAAUAAGCAUCGGCUAACUCCGUGCCAGCAACCGCGGUAAGACGGAGGAUGCAAGUGUUAUCCGGAAUCACUGGGCGUAAAGCGUCUGUAGGUGGUUUGAUAAGUCAACUGUUAAAUCUUGAGGCUCAACCUCAAAAUCGCAGUCGAAACUAUUAGACUAGAGUAUAGUAGGGGUAAAGGGAAUUUCCAGUGGAGCGGUGAAAUGCGUAGAGAUUGGAAAGAACACCGAUGGCGAAGGCACUUUACUGGGCUAUUACUAACACUCAGAGACGAAAGCUAGGGUAGCAAAUGGGAUUAGAUACCCCAGUAGUCU